rnacentral:rRNA from 1 species
GACGGAUGGGAGCUUGCUCCAGACCGUCAGCGGCGGACGGGUGAGUAACACGUGGGCAACCUGCCUGUAAGACUGGGAUAACUCCGGGAAACCGGGGCUAAUACCGGAUAAUUCUUUUCCUCACAUGAGGAAAAGCUGAAAGAUGGCAUCUCGCUAUCACUUACAGAUGGGCCCGCGGCGCAUUAGCUAGUUGGUGAGGUAACGGCUCACCAAGGCAACGAUGCGUAGCCGACCUGAGAGGGUGAUCGGCCACACUGGGACUGAGACACGGCCCAG